GCCGGGCGAAGUGGCGGGCGCCUGUAGUCCCAGCUACUGGGGAGGCUGAGGCGGGAGAAUGGCUUGAACCCAGGAGGCGGAGGUUGCAGUGAGCCAAAAUCGAGCUAAGAUCCGGCCACUGCACUCCAGCCUGGGCAACAGAGUGAGACUCCGCCUCAA
ensembl:misc_RNA Metazoa_SRP Metazoan signal recognition particle RNA